rnacentral:tRNA from 1 species
GCUGAUGUAGCUCAGUUGGUAGAGCAGCUCACUCGUAAUGAGCAGGUCGCAGGUUCGAGUCCCGUCAUCAGCU